AUUAAACUUUUUUUUCUUCCUGGGCUUAACCCACCACAACUAAAACACUGACAACGUUUUGCUGGCAGCAGGAUUGAUAUGAUCUGGGUGAGAAUUGUAUUGUGAGCUUAUUUACACCCUAUUUUUAGAUAUUCUCACCCUUCAGGCCUGGUUGGAUCUAAGAUAAAGACGCAGAAAACAAUUCUCCCGCUCAUAAUAUUAAAAAAAAAAUUAAAACCAAUUAAACCCCACUGUUUUUUUUCUAAUUUGAGGACAAUUUUUGCCUCUCCAUCCGUAAGUUAUGAUACUGCAGACCAGCAGCAGGUAAAAUGAUUUGAAAAGUAAAAAUAGAUCAAAAAAAAAAAAGAAGAAGCAUUUAGAACUUGACGAGUCGAAUGUUAUUUUUAUUAAACAUCAAGUCCUUACCGCUGCAAAUUUAAUCAGCACUUUACAAACAGAUAGAAAAGAGUUCCCUGCCCUGAAGGCUCACAGGCUGAGUUUAAGAAAAUAUAUAAAAUAUAGGAACAGUUUAACCAGAACCCACAGAAAACCACUGGGGACCUGAUUAGUUUAUCCACUUACUGGACAGACCCAAACUGCCUGUCAGCACGUGGCAGCAACUGUCCACCCAACCCUGAGAAGGGACAAAAGGUGACACUUUCUGUCCUCACAGGUUUGAUUUGGGGAAAAUAAUGGAUAAGUGCAGCGAGAGGGGCUCACCCCACACAGACCUUCUCCAGAGCCAUGGCAUCCAAGACCUCGGCAGCACUGGGAUCGCUGUCCCCGAGGGGAUGAGCCAGCCAGCUGCACCCUCCCCUUGGAGGACACUUUGGGAGCAGCAAGGGGCAGGACCCAAUUAGGGAAGGGACUAAAGCCCAAUUAGCGACGAGGAAAACAAGCAGCGGGUUUAGAACAGGUCGAGCAGCAACGUCAUCCCCGUGUUUGGGAUGUCUCAAACCCUGGGAAUUCUAAUGGUUUGGGAUCUGGUGAGAGCUGAUCCCCAGGAACAAAACCCACUCGUAUCCCAAGCUCCCAGAAGCGGGAGAUGAAGGCAACUGUGAAAUACAAACCCAAGUGUGAAUGGAGAGGCAAUUCUCCCCAGCCAAGGGGCUGGGAAACCAAACAAGAGGUUUCCUGGCUCGGUUGCACUGGGAACACCACAGAGGUGGCGAUGCCACCACAGGGGUGCUCAGAGGUGACAAGACCAGAGCAAAUUCCCCUCAGUUACUGCAGUGCAAAUCCAGAGGCUCCAGCGGAGCGUGUCCUGGUCCACAUCAUAACAACCCCAAGCAGAACGUGGCCUUGUCACCCUCAUUCACAGCAAAGUCAAUCCGACUUCAAGGAUAAAACCACCCAAAGGAUGGAAACUGCAAACAGAGAGCCAUGUGUGAGGGCAAAAUCAUCAAACAGAGCCAAUAAGGUUGGCAAAGACCUCUUGGACCACGGAGUCCAACCAUUCCCCAGCACUGCCAAGGCCACCAACUCAUGUCCCCAAGUGCCACAUCAACAUGGCUUUGAAAUCCCUCCAGGGAUGGGGACACCACCCCUGCCCUGGGCAGCUGUGCCAGGGCCGUACAGCCCUUUUCAGGGAGAAACUGUCCCAAUUUCCAACCCAAACCUCCCCUGGCACAACUUGAGGCUGUUUCAUCCAAGCAGGGAUCAGCCUCCUGUCUGGAGUGUCCCUCCCCACUGUGCAGUGACUGACGGUGGAGAGGUGACAACACAACACAAGGGGCUUGAGAAAAAACAUCCAAGAUUUAGCCACAGCAGGGAAAACAUCAUCAAAACUAUUAUUAUUGGGAAUAACAGAGCCAACCCAGCUCACUGGUGACUUCCCUAAGCAGCUCCACUGCUCUGGAGCACAGCCCUCCUGAGGGUGCAGCCACCAAACAGGAGAAGUCCCAGGAGAAGAGCAGGUGUGCUCUGGAGGGCACAGGACAGGAGCCAGAGGGAGUGGAGCCUUCUGGGCUCGCACACAUCCAACAGAAAUCCUUCCCUGGGAGGGUGGGGAGGCCCUGGCACAGGUUGCCCAGAGAAGCUGUGGCUGCCCCAUCCCUGGAAGUGUCCAAGGCCAGGUUGGAGCAACCUGGGCUAGUGGAAGGUGUCCCUGCCCAAGGCAGGGGGUGGAACUGGAUGAUCCUUAAGGUCCUUUCCUGCCCAAACCAUUGCCAGGCCCUUCCGUGAUGCCCCAGCUGUGCCCUCCCUUCGGCUGGAUCCCGCAAUCCCAGAGUGGUUUGGAUAAAAAGGACCAUAAACCCCCUCCCCCUGCCCAGGUGGGAUCAGUGUCCGAUGGCUCCGUUCCCGGGAACGAGUCCAAGACAGAGCCGUGGGCGUUCCGGAAUGGGGAGGGACAGCGCGAUCCGGGAAGGGCAAAUAAACCCAGGGAUGGAUUUAUGAGCAGGAAUUCCCCCAGCUCAGGGUUUGGGUUUGGGCAGGGAGGGUGGUCAGAGUUCACCCUGGAAUAGAAACUUCCCGGUGAAAACUCACCAGAUUUUCCCUUUUUCAUUCCCAAAGUUGCCUCCGAGGAUUUUGUGGCUGUUUGGAGCCGGCACAGGGCUGGCAAAGGUGCUGAAAAAUCACAUUUAAAUAAAUCUGUUUUGUGGCUGUU